rnacentral:rRNA from 1 species
GACAGCAGUAGCCGCGGGAAUACAGAGGGUGCGAGCGUUAAUCGGAUUUACUGGGCGUAAAGCGUGCGUAGGCGGCUUUUUAAGUCGGAUGUGAAAUCCCUGAGCUUAACUUAGGAAUUGCAUUCGAUACUGGGAAGCUAGAGUAUGGGAGAGGAUGGUAGAAUUCCAGGUGUAGCGGUGAAAUGCGUAGAGAUCUGGAGGAAUACCGAUGGCGAAGGCAGCCAUCUGGCCUAAUACUGACGCUGAGGUACGAAAGCAUGGGGAGCAAACAGGAUUAGAUACCCGGGUAAUCCCUGUCUCUUAUAC